AGAUUGAACGCUGGCGGCAGGCCUAACACAUGCAAGUCGAGCGGCAGCGGGAAGUAGUUUACUACUUUGCCGGCGAGCGGCGGACGGGUGAGUAAUGUCUGGGAAACUGCCUGAUGGAGGGGGAUAACUACUGGAAACGGUAGCUAAUACCGCAUAACGUCUACGGACCAAAGUGGGGGACCUUCGGGCCUCACGCCAUCGGAUGUGCCCAGAUGGGAUUAGCUAGUAGGUGGGGUAAUGGCUCACCUAGGCGACGAUCCCUAGCUGGUCUGAGAGGAUGACCAGCCACACUGGAACUGAGACACGGUCCAGACUCCUACGGGAGGCAGCAGUGGGGAAUAUUGCACAAUGGGCGCAAGCCUGAUGCAGCCAUGCCGCGUGUGUGAAGAAGGCCUUCGGGUUGUAAAGCACUUUCAGCGAGGAGGAAGGCCAAUAACUUAAUACGUUGUUGGAUUGACGUUACUCGCAGAAGAAGCACCGGCUAACUCCGUGCCAGCAGCCGCGGUAAUACGGAGGGUGCAAGCGUUAAUCG
rnacentral:rRNA from 1 species